AGAGGCCGUCCUGUAGCCGGGCCGGCUUGGGGCUUGGUUCUAUGUCCCUGCGGGUCGGUGCAAGGGCGAAGAGGAACCCGUGGGCCUCAGGGGAUCCCGGGGGGCCGGACCAGUGUUCCCUAGUUGUGGGAGCAGACGCGUGGGCACAUUGCGGGCGGGCAGGGCCUGAAGUGCAGCUAUGUUUCCAGUGUCCUCUGGGUGUUUCCAAGAGCAACAAGAAAUGAAUAAAUCUCUGUUGAAGAGAUACCAUUUGACAUUUUAGAGAUGGCUGCAUGCAAACUCUUGAAACAUUUGACCACCCUCCAGGGUGCCCCGACUCACUUUCCCUGCAGAUGGAGGCAAGGAGGCUCCACAGACAACCCCCCUGCCUGAGGUCACAUAGUGGCCAGCAGGCCAGAGCUGGCGCAGAGAAAAUACAAGCUGAGCUUAGAACAUCUUCUGCCAGAAAGUAAAAAAGUGCCGACAGAGUAAUGGAGACAAAUCAAAGAGACAUAAAGUCAGCUUGGAAUGUCUACUACUGGCCUAAUCUUGGGGAAUUGGAGCAUCAGAAUCAUGAGCUUUCCUUCUCCCUUAUUUAUUGGUUUUAUUUCUCCAUGUAGAACAAAGAAGAGAAUAAGAAAAUAAUCAUCUGGUAACCAUCAUAGUAAUAAUUGUUCAAACACAAGUCAUCCAUGAAAUGCUAAAUCUAGUGGGUUCUGAGGAGUAACCAGAUAUUUACAGAGCCUCAAAGUAUCUCCAUACAAAAUACGGUUGAACUACAAAAAGAAAAUUGUAACAUUAGCAUGGACAAACCUGGCAGGUACUCCUUAACUCUCCUAAGUAAUAAAAACUGUAAAAUGCAAAUAAGCCUUCGAUGACCUUUACUAACCUUUACUAAAGUAUCAGUGAUGACUUGGUUGUUUAAACAGCUGACAUUUGGGCAAUUUGAGUAUGUCAAACUCAAUAAUACUGGUUUUCAUUUGCAAGAUCCACUUAAAACUUAAGGAGGCCAAAAAACAUCAUUUAAAAUACCCUAUAAAUUAUAAUCAUACAUAUGAUACAAAAAUAUCCUACUUCAGUAAAUAUUGGAAUGUUAUAUAUUUUAUGAGAAACAAUUAAAAUGUGUAAAUAGCCCAGUAAUAAAGUUUUAUAAUCUUUUAAAUCA